rnacentral:rRNA from 1 species
AGAAUCAACGCUGGCGGCGUGCCUAACACAUGCAAGUCGAACGAGAAAGGGGUAGGCAAUACCCUGAGUAAAGUGGCGCACGGGUGAGUAACACGUGACUAACCUACCCUUGAGUGGGGGAUAACUGAGGGAAACCUUAGCUAAUACCGCAUAAUACCCACGGGUCAAAGGAGCAAUUCGCUCGAGGAGGGGGUCGCGGCCGAUUAGUUAGUUGGCGGGGUAAUGGCCCACCAAGACGAUGAUCGGUAU